rnacentral:rRNA from 1 species
UACCGCGUGUGUGAAGAAGGCCUUAGGGUUGUAAAGCACUUUCAAUUGGGAGGAAAACCUACCGGUCAAUACCCGGUAGCUUGACAUUACCUUUAGAAGAAGCACCGGCUAACUCCGUGCCAGCAGCCGCGGUAAUACGGAGGGUGCGAGCGUUAAUCGGAAUUACUGGGCGUAAAGCGUGCGUAGGCGGUUCGUUAAGUCAGAUGUGAAAGCCCUGGGCUCAACCUGGGAACUGCAUUUGAAACUGGCGGACUAGAGUUUAGUAGAGGGGAGUGGAAUUUCAGGUGUAGCGGUGAAAUGCGUAGAUAUCUGAAGGAACACCAGUGGCGAAGGCGACUCCCUGGACUAGAACUGACGCUGAGGUACGAAAGCGUGGGUAGCAAACAGGAUUAGAUACCCUGGUAGUCCACGCCGUAAACGAUGUCGACUAGCCGUUGGGCCUAUAUACAGGUUUAGUGGCGCAGCUAACGCAUUAAGUCGACCGCCUGGGGAGUACGGCCGCAAGGUUAAAACUCAAAUGAAUUGACGGGGGCCCGCACAAGCGGUGGAGCAUGUGGUUUAAUUCGAUGCAACGCGAAGAACCUUACCUACCCUUGACAUCCAGAGAAUCUGUU